CAUUCAGCAAGUCUCUAGCCGUUGUAAACUCUGAAACACAUUUUCUUAGUAAGUAGAUAUUUUUCCUUAAAAAAGAUUAAAUGCAAAUUUGAUCCAAAUAAAGAAAUUAGUUUAAAAACUCAUAAAGUAUAAAAGGAAGGGGGAUCAUUUUCUCCAUUCUCUAUUCAAUACUUUUUAGCUAAAUGACAUCAGAGUUCAUAUCAUGAUCAAAAUGGAUUCUAAGAAGAACGUGAGACAAGCUGAGAUUCAAAAGAGACCCAGAUACAUGGUAGAAGUCCCAGGGAAGCAUGACUGCAAGCUAGUUACCAAGAUGGGACUACUGUAAUUAUCUUGCCAUUUCAUUUCCUUGAGCACAUUUUGCAACAGUAGCUAAGUUUUUUUUUUGUUUUUUUGUUUUUUUUUUUAAAGUCUGGCAGAGGGCUAAAAUUAGCAGGGCUCUCUUUAACUGGAAUAAUACUAGACAAUUGUAUACGAAUUUUAAUGGUCUCAGAAUUCCAAGGUAGCAUUUGUGCAAAAACAGUUUUUCAUUUUCUGCUUUGGAUCCCCUUUUGAGACAGUGGUCUAACCUGUACCAUAAUUGUCUACCAUGAAGUUCUCUAGCCAAGAAAAAUAAUGUCUUUGCUUUUCAUAGCUGUGGUUACUUCCCCAUCAUAAACCUUAUUGCACAGUAUUUUUAGUGCCUUUAUAUUUUCUUUUCUAAAUUUUUUUUUUUUUUUUUUUUUUUGUAGAGACUGGGGGGGAUCUCACUUGGUUGCCCAGGCUGGUCUCGAAGUCCUGGCCUCAAACAAUCCUCCUGCUUGAGCCUCCAAAAGGGCUUAGAAUUAGAGGUGUGAGCCACUACACCCAGCUUGCUUUUAUAUUUUCUGAAUCACCCUAUUUACCUUAGGCAGCAUGUAGGCAGGAAUUGCGUCUUUAUUAUUUACUAUUAUACCCCUAGUGCUUGGUAUUUUCUAUCAAUGUUAGCCAUUCUAGUAGGGUUUUGUUUGAAUUUCCUUAAUGAAUGAUGAUGUUGAGCACCAUUUCACUUGGAUAUCCAGUUUGUGAAGUGUCUGUUCAAUCCUCUUGCCCAUUUUUUU
rnacentral:lncRNA from 10 species